GGCAUUGAGCAUGUUGGAGGAGAUAUGUUCUUAAGUGUCCCAAAAGCAGAUGCCAUAAUGAUGAAGGAAGUUCUUCACAAUUGGGAUGAUGAGCAUUGCUUAAAACUACUAAGAAAUUGCUACGAAGCAUUGGAAAAGAAAGGGAAAGUGAUAGUAAUAAGUUACAUGAUGUCUGAGGCAGGAGAGGUAAGCAAUGCAGCUAAGUUUAUUUCUCAAAUAGAUCUCCAAAUGGCUACGUAAUUUGGUGCAAAGCAAAGGACUGCAAAGCAUUUCAAGUCCAUGGCCAUGUAUGCUGGCUUUUCAAGCUUUCAACUCAAGUGCCUUGUUUUCAAUGUGGUUACUGUCAUGGAACUCUAUAAAUAAUUGUUUUAAUUGUUAAUUUGUUGUUGUUGUGUCUGGAGUUUAUUUAUAUCCAUAAUUGGUACUGAUAUGACGUGUCUGGUUAUGUUAAAUAAUUGAGAAUUUAGGGUUUGUUUUUAGUAAUGUUAUGAACUAAAUUCUCUAAUCUUGAUGACUGUUACCUUUUGUGUUUGUCUUCAAUUGUGUUGAUUUGAGAAA